GUACUACUCCCUCCGUCCCAUAUUAAGUGACGUAAUGCAUGUUACAUGUAUCUAGACGCUUUUUGGGUAUAGAUACAUCCAUAUUUGGACAAAUUUGAGUCACUUAAUAUGGGACGGAGGGAGUACAAU
rfam:Brachypodium distachyon strain Bd21 chromosome 1, whole genome shotgun sequence.